AUGCAUGUGGAUCAGAACCUUGUGAUUGCACAACCGCAUCUUCUUUUGAAUUCACCUUUUAGAUCCAUGUAUGUUGGUUUUUUUCGUUUAAGCAUCAGACGAUUCACAAAGUUGAUGAUGUUAAUGGAGACGGCAACAUACGGAGGGGUGAAGACCAGUGGUGGGGACGGUGACGUUUGGUGUCGGUGA